AUGAACGCUGGCGGUAUGCCUGAGAUAUGCAAGUCGAGCGUCGUUUUUCCCGCAAGGGAAAAAUGUAGCGGCGGACGGCUGAGUAAUACAUAGGAAUCUGCCCCUUUCUGGAGGAUAGCCCCGCGAAAGCGGGGGUAAUACUUCAUAGUCCCUGACUUAUGUCGUGGGUAAAAGCCGCAAGGCUGGAAAGGGAUAAGCCUGUGUCCUAUCAGGUAGUUGGUAGGGUAAUGGCCUACCAAGCCAAUCACGGGUAGCUGGUCUGAGAGGAUGACCAGCCAGAGGGGGACUGAGACACGGCCCCCACUCCUACGGGAGGCAGCAAUCAGGAAUAGUCGGCAAUGGACGAAAGUCUGACCGCGCGAUACCGCGUGUAGGAAGAAGCUCUUACGAGUGUAAACUACUGUGGUAGAGGAAGAAGUCCCGCAAGGGAUUGACGGUACUCUACUAGAAAGGGGCCGCUAACUGCGUGCCAGAAGCGUCGGUAAUACGUGGGCCUCAAGCGUUAUCCGGUAUCACUGGGCAUAAAGGGUCGUGUAGGUGUUCUGUUAAGUUCCUGUUUAAAGAUCGAGGCCCAACCUCGAGAAAGGCGGGAAAACUGGCAGAAUAGAAUUUCCUUAAGGGGGAUCGGAACUGAGAGAGGAGUAGUGAAAUGCGUUGAUACCCUCGGGAACACCAGUGGCGAAGGCGGAUCUCUGGAAGGAAAUUGACACUGAGACACGAAAGCUAGGGGAGCGAAGCAGAUUAGAGACCUGCGUAGUCCUAGCCCUAAACGAAUGCUUGCUAGCUGCAUGAUCUUAGCUCCUAGCUGUCAGCAACCACCUAUCAGAUUUAUUCUGAAGGCUUGAAAGCUGAACGCUGAGAGCUAAUAUCGUGUGGCGAAGGAAAUCCGUUAAGCAAGCCGCCUGGGGAGUACGGCCGCAAGGCUAAAACUCAAAGGAAUUGGCGGGGAGGCACACAACCAGUGGAACAUGUGGUUCAAUUCGAUACGAACCGAAACACCUCACCAGGGUUUGAAAUGCUAGAGUUCUAUCUUGAUGAAAGUCGAGAAAUGCGCAAGCAGGCUAGCACAGGUGCUGCAUGGCUGUCGUCAGCUCGUUCCGUGAGGAGUGCCCUUAAGUGGGACAACGAGCGCAACCCCCAUUUCGUGUUACAUUCAUGUCACGAAAGACUGCCCUGCCUUUGGCGGGGAGGAAGGAGGGGCAGACGUCAAGUCAGCAUGGUCCUUAUACCCUGGGCGACACACAUGUUACAAUGGAAAGAAACAACGGGCCUUGCAAACCAGCAAUGGUGAGCGAAUCCCUGAAAUCUUUCCUCAGUGGGGAUUGAGGUCUGCAACCCGACCUCACGAACGUGGAAUUGGUAGUAAUCGCGGAUCAGCUACGCCGCGGUGAAUACGUUCUUGCCUCUUGCACACACCGCCCGUCAAGCCAACAAGGUCGGGGAUAUUCGAAUCUCGCGCAAGCGGGAGAGAGUAUCGUCGGCGAUGAGGGUU
rnacentral:rRNA from 1 species